GACGAACGCUGGCGGCGUGCUUAACACAUGCAAGUCGAGCGGUAAAGGCCCUUUCGGGGGUACACGAGCGGCGAACGGGUGAGUAACACGUGGGUGACCUGCCCUCAGCUCUGGGAUAAGCCUGGGAAACCGGGUCUAAUACUGGAUAUGACUCCAUGACGCAUGUUGUGGGGUGGAAAGCCUUGUGCGGCUGAGGAUGGGCCCGCGGCCUAUCAGCUUGUUGGUGGGGUGANGGCCUACCAAGGCGACGACGGGUAGCCGGCCUGAGAGGGCGACCGGCCACACUGGGA
rnacentral:rRNA from 1 species